rnacentral:rRNA from 1 species
CAAUAGCGUAUAUUAAAGUUGUUGCAGUUAAAAAGCUCGUAGUUGGAUUUGUGGCGUACGGUGUGUUCCGGGCACUUGUUGUCUGAGUAACCUGCUGUUGCCAUCCUUGGGCGGAACCUGUGUGGCAUUAGGUUGUCGUGCAGGGGAUGCCCAUCAUUUACUGUGAAAAAAUUAGAGUGUUCAAAGCAGGCUUAUGCCGUUGAAUAUAUUAGCAUGGAAUAAUGAGAUAGGACUUUUUUGCUAUUUUGUUGGUUUGCGCAAAGAGGUAAUGAUUAAUAGGGACAGUUGGGGGUAUUCGUAUUCCAUUGUCAGAGGUGAAAUUCUUGGAUUUUUGGAAGACGAACUACUGCGAAAGCAUUUACCAAGGAUGUUUUCAUUAA